rnacentral:rRNA from 1 species
UGGGGAAUAUUGCACAAUGGGGGAAACCCUGAUGCAGCGACGCCGCGUGGAGGAAGAAGGUCUUCGGAUUGUAAACUCCUGUUGUUGAGGAAGAUAAUGACGGUACUCAACAAGGAAGUGACGGCUAACUACGUGCCAGCAGCCGCGGUAAAACGUAGGUCACAAGCGUUGUCCGGAAUUACUGGGUGUAAAGGGAGCGCAGGCGGGAAGACAAGUUGGAAGUGAAAUCUAUGGGCUUAACCCAUAAACUGCUUUCAAAACUGUUUUUCUUGAGUAGUGCAGAGGUAGGCGGAAUUCCCGGUGUAGCGGUGGAAUGCGUAGAUAUCGGGAGGAACACCAGUGGCGAAGGCGGCCUACUGGGCACCAACUGACGCUGAGGCUCGAAAGUGUGGGUAGCAAACAGGAUUAGAUACCCUGGUAGUCCACACCGUAAACGAUGAUUACUAGGUGUUGGAGGAUUGACCCCUUCAGUGCCGCAGUUAACACAAUAAGUAAUCCACCUGGGGAGUACGACCGCAAGGUUGAAACUCAAAGGAAUUGACGGGGGCCCGCACAAGCAGUGGAGUAUGUGGUUUAAUUCGACGCAACGCGAAGAACCUUACCAAGUCUUGACAUCCUGCGACGAUGCUAGAAAUAGUAUUUUCCUUCGGGACGCAGAGACAGGUGGUGCAUGGUUGUCGUCAGCUCGUGUCGUGAGAUGUUGGGUUAAGUCCCGCAACGAGCGCAACCCUUAUGGUCAGUUACUACGCAAGAGGACUCUGGCCAGACUGCCGUUGACAAAACGGAGGAAGGUGGGGAUGACGUCAAAUCAUCAUGCCCUUUAUGACUUGGGCUACACACGUACUACAAUGGCGUUAAACAAAGAGAAGCAAGACCGCGAGGUGGAGCAAAACUCAGAAACAACGUCCCAGUUCGGACUGCAGGCUGCAACUCGCCUGCACGAAGUCGGAAUUGCUAGUAAUCGUGGAUCAGCAUGCCACGGUGAAUACGUUCCC